rnacentral:rRNA from 1 species
AUGCACGCUGGCGGCGUGCCUAAUACAUGCAAGUCGAGCGCACAGACGAGGAGCUUGCUCCUCUGACGUUAGCGGCGGACGGGUGAGUAACACGUGGAUAACCUACCUAUAAGACUGGGAUAACUUCGGGAAACCGGAGCUAAUACCGGAUAAUAUAUUGAACCGCAUGGUUCAAUAGUGAAAGACGGUUUUGCUGCCACUUAUAGAUGGAUCCGCGCCGCAUUAGCUAGUUGGUAAGGUAACGGCUUACCAAGGCGACGAUGCGUAGCCGACCUGAGAGGGUGAUCGGCCACACUGGAACUGAGACACGGUCCAGACUCCUACGGGAGGCAGCAGUAGGGAAUCUUCCGCAAUGGGCGAAAGCCUGACGGAGCAACGCCGCGUGAGUGAUGAAGGUCUUCGGAUCGUAAAACUCUGUUAUUAGGGAAGAACAAAUGUGUAAGUAACUAUGCACGUCUUGACGGUACCUAAUCAGAAAGCCACGGCUAACUACGUG